CAAAUGCUUAUCUUUGACCACCAACGGUUCGGUUAUGGAUUCCUGAAUCCGGAGCCUUUUCACAAUCCGACCCGGAAACAACUCGUGAUUUUCUGUUCCGAAUCUAGCUUGAGUUCUCGGUGAAUUCAACAUUCCCAAUCGUUGCAGCUUGACCUUUCUUUCACAUUGCUAGCAUUGAAUUCCUCAGCCGUCCGACCCUCUCGAUCAACUGCAGCAAUUCGCCGUCGAACAAUUUCUAUUUUCGCACAUGAUGAAAUCGCCGCCGCCGUUUCCGAUUUCAUCGUGUAUGAAAUUUGAAUUGUGGGCCUCGACGGCAAAUUUGCAGCAGGUGAUCGAGAGGAUUGGACGGCUGAAGAAAUUCAAUGCUAGCAUUGUCAAAGAGAUAUCAAAAGCUGCAACCAUUGGAGAUCUUGAAUUCACCGAUAACUCAAGCUAGAUUCGGAACAGGAAAUCACGAGUUGUUUCCGGGUCGGAUCGUGACAAAGGUCCCCGGAUUUAGGAAGCCAUAACCGAACCGUUUGUGUUCAAAGAUAAAGCAUUUACAAAUCUUUCCAAAACUAAAGUAUUUCAUCAUAUCUUCUUCCCAAUUUUCCGGAAACUAAAUUUCAGUUUUAAGUAUAUUACAAUCUCCGCUAUUUUUUUUGCUGGCGAUGGGAUGGGACCCGACCAUUAUUGGAAAAUGGAAACCAAUGCAUUUUUUUUUUGUACUGUUGAUGAAUUGCUUUCGAGGAUUCAAAUUCCCUUCCUUGUAUGUUUUCUGCGAGCCAUUUUUUCAAAAUCGAUCCGAAAAUACGACAUCAUCGAUAUUCUCAGGUACAACUCACCGUCGGAGGAUAAAGUUCGCUUUCGUUGAGGUACUUGUCCCCAGUGCAUUCCUCGGAAGUCAGGAUUCUAUUUCAUCAAUGUUGAGUCGCAGGAUCAAUAGCUAUAGUUCAUCUGAUUUAGAGGAACUUCUAGAGAUUGAGACAAGAUGUCGGCAGGAGGAGUUAAGAGAGGAGAAGUUAAAGCAAAAGAAGAAGCAGAAGAUCUUGCUCAAGAAAUGGCUGAGCUAAGGUACCAAAUUACUGGUUUGCUUGAAGAAGAGUGCAACUGUGUCAAGUGCCGGGCUUGCAUUGAACAGGCGUUUUUACAGAGGAUUGCCCAGUUAGAGGCACAGGUUCUAAAAGAACAAAACAGAUCAUUUCCUGUUGCAAGGUGCUGGCGAAUUAAUUAAAAGCUGCUUGAGAAAGAAAGAACGUAAAUAAGAGGACUGGUGAAUUUCAUUGCAAAACAAAACAAUGACCUCCUAUAUCUUCCUCUUGGUUUUCCCAGAUGUCGCUGUGUUGAUUAGAAAACUUUGCAACCCAACUUUGUACCAACUACACUCAGCCAAUUCAGCUUCUUACAGAGCAAAUACACAUGCAUUUGUAGAUGAUGAUAAAGGUUAGUAGGUUCCAUAAAUGGAGUUGUGCUAUAAAGUUUUACUCAUUGUUGCUGCAAUCGGGAAUAUGAAGUAGAUUUGCUUUGCCAUAGUUCUAUCUGGCAGCUCUGAUUCUGAAUCUUUGAUCUGAGCGGCCCUUUCUCAGGAGUUAUGUGAAGCGUGUAUUUAUCAACAGUGUGUUUGUUUGUCAUAGUUUCAUCACUGUUAUAGAUAUAUAUGUAUUUUGUAUUUGAAACAAGAAUGCUGGAUUUGUGUAUUUUAUAAAAUGGGAAGUUUUGUAUGCACCCA